rnacentral:rRNA from 1 species
UACGUAGGGUCCAAGCGUUAAUCGGAAUUACUGGGCGUAAAGCGUGCGUAGGCGGUCUCGCAAGUCCGAUGUGAAAUCCCCGAGCUUAACUUGGGAACUGCGUUGGAAACUAUGAGGCUAGAGUGCGGCAGAGGGGGGUGGAAUUCCAGGUGUAGCAGUGAAAUGCGUAGAGAUCUGGAGGAACACCGAUGGCGAAGGCAGCCCCCUGGGCUAGCACUGACGCUGAUACACGAAAGCGUGGGGAGCAAACAGG